UACGAAGGGGGCUAGCGUUGCUCGGAAUUACUGGGCGUAAAGCGCACGUAGGCGGCUUCUUAAGUCGGUGGUGAAAUCCUGGAGCUCAACUCCAGAACUGCCUCGAUACUGGGAGCUCGAGUCCGGGAGAGGUGAGUGGAACUGCGAGUGUAGAGGUGAAAUUCGUAGAUAUUCGCAAGAACACCAGUGGCGAAGGCGGCUCACUGGCCCGGUACUGACGCUGAGGUGCGAAAGCGUGGGGAGCAACAGGG
rnacentral:rRNA from 1 species